GACGAACGCUGGCGGCGUGCCUAAUACAUGCAAGUAGAACGCUGAAGGUGGAGCUUGCUCUUCUGGAUGAGUUGCUAACGGGUGAGUAACGCGUAGUUAACCUUCCUGGUAGCGGGGGAUAACUAUUGGUAACGAUAGCUAAUACCGCAUAACAGUAGAUGUUGCAUGUUAUUUGCUUAAAAGGUGCAAUUUCAUCACUACCAGAUGGUCCUGCGUUGUAUUAGCUAGUUGGUGGGGUAACGGCUCACCAAGGCGACGAUACAUAGCCGACCUGAGAGGGUGAUCGGCCACACUGGGACUGAGACACGGCCCAGACUCCUACGGGAGGCAGCAGUAGGGAAUCUUCGGCAAUGGACGGAAGUCUGACCGAGCAACGCCGCGUGAGUGAAGAAGGUUUUCGGAUCGUAAAGCUCUGUUGUAAGAGAAGAACGAGUGUGAGAGUGGAAAGUUCACACUGUGACGGUAUCUUACCAGAAAGGGACGGCUAACUACGUG
rnacentral:rRNA from 1 species